rnacentral:snoRNA from 1 species
AUCCUGUUUACGAUGAAACUAGUUACGGAUGUUUGAGUCCAUGACUCAUUUUUCCGAGAGCGCAUAAACUUCGUGUGGAUGAUUCCGUUGCCUUCCUUCUGAUUUAUUGU